AUUGAACGCUGGCGGCAUGCUUUACACAUGCAAGUCGAACGGCAGCGCGGGCUUCGGCCUGGCGGCGAGUGGCGAACGGGUGAGUAAUGCAUCGGAACGUGCCCAGUAGUGGGGGAUAGCCCGGCGAAAGACGGAUUAAUACUGCAUAAGACCUGAGGGUGAAAGCGGGGGAGCGAAAGGACUCGCGCUAUUGGAGCGGCCGAUGUCGGAUUAGCUAGUUGGUGGGGUAAAGGCUUACCAAGGAGGCGAUCCGUAGGUGGUCGGAGUGGCCGACCAGCCACACUGGAGCUUGACCACGGCCCAGACUCCUGCGGGAGGCAGCAGUGUGGAAUUUUGGACAAUGGUGGCAACCCUGAUCCAGCCAUGCCGCGUGCGGUAAGAAGGCCUUCGGUUUGUAAACCGCUUUUGUUCGGUAAGAAAUCCUCUGGGCUAAUACCCCGGGGGGAUGACGGUACCGGAAGAAUAAGCACCGGCUAACUACGUG
rnacentral:rRNA from 1 species